rnacentral:tRNA from 1 species
CAGGAUGUGGCGUAGCAAGCAGCGCGGCGGGCUUCCACCCCGUAGGCGCCGGGGCAGAUCCGGCCAUCCUGA